rnacentral:sRNA from 1 species
ACUAUACGGCGGCGUAUACUACACCGUUGCAGAU